GAUAAACGCUGGCGGUGUACAUAAGACAUGCAAGUCGAACGGGAGAAGACAGGAAGAUUUAUCUACUUGUUGGACACCGUGGCGGACGGGUGAGUAACACGUAAGCAACCUGCCUAUAAGAGGGGAAUAACAGUGAGAAAUUACUGAUAAUACCGCAUAAGCUGGAGGUAUCGCAUGAUACAUUCAGAAAAGAUUUAUCGCUUAUAGAUGGGCUUGCGUCUGAUUAGCUAGUUGGUGAGAUAACAGCUCACCAAGGCGACGAUCAGUAGCCGGAUUGAGAGGUUGAACGGCCACAUUGGGACUGAGACACGGCCCAGACUCCUACGGGAGGCAGCAGUCGGGAAUAUUGCACAAUGGAGGAAACUCUGAUGCAGUGACACCGCGUAUAGGAAGAAGGUCUUAGGAUUGUAAGCUAUUGUCGUGUGAGAAGAAAAUGACCAUCACAGGAGGAAGCCCGGCUAAUU
rnacentral:rRNA from 1 species